rnacentral:lncRNA from 10 species
CUCCUCUGUUUCCAAGCCUUUGUUAGUUGAGAUUUCUGCUGCUAACGGCCAAAGCCAUUCCUCACUGCUAUUGACUUUCCCAGGAUUUAUUGAUCAUUCUUGGGUGUUUCUCAGAGAAGUCACAAAUUCUUGCUAAUAUCAUUCAAUCAAUACCUGCUACUACUUGCCCCGGAGGGAGCAAUUUACAGUUGACCAUGUGAGAAGCUGCAUCUCCACCAACCUAAAAACAUCACCCCUUGAAUUCAGAGCUGCUGCAUUUCUACUUGAAGCUCAAGCUCAAGUUCUGUUUUCUCUGUUCAUCUGGAUCCACUCCAGCCACACUGGCCUCCUUGCUGCUUCUCAAAACACACCAGCCUCAUUCCUGUAUCUAGUUCUAUGUUUUUGUUUUGCCAUAGCACUUAAAACCUUUGGACAUAGUAU